CAGCAGCCGCGGUAAUACGUAGGGUGCGAGCGUUAAUCGGAAUUACUGGGCGUAAAGCGUACGUAGGCGGCUUUGUAUGUUAGAGGUGAAAGCCCGGAGCUCAACUCCGGAAUUGCCUUUAAGACUGCAUCGCUUGAAUCGUGGAGAGGUGAGUGGAAUUCCGAGUGUAGAGGUGAAAUUCGUAGAUAUUCGGAAGAACACCAGUGGCGAAGGCGGCUCACUGGACACGUAUUGACGCUGAGGUACGAAAGCGUGGGGAGCAAACAGGAUUAGAUACCCCGGUAGUCCCUGUCUCUUAUAC
rnacentral:rRNA from 1 species